rnacentral:rRNA from 1 species
GACGAACGCUGGCGGCGUGCUUAACACAUGCAAGUCGAACGGAAAGGCCCUGCUUUUGUGGGGUGCUCGUGUGGCGAUCGUGUGUGUAACACGUGAGUAACCUGCCCUUUACUUUGGGAUAACUUCAGGAAACUGGUGCUAAUACCGGAUAGGAGCUCCUGCUGCUUGGUGGUGGUUGGAUAGUUUCGGCGGUUGGGGAUGGACUCGCGGCUUAUCAGCUUGUUUGUGGGGUAGUGGCUUACCAAGGCUUUGACGGGUAGCCGGCCUGAGAGGGUGACCGGCGACAAUGGGACUGAGAUACGGAACAGAGGACUACGGGAGGAAGCAGUGGGGAAUAUUGCACAAUGGGCGGAAGCAUGAUGAAGAAACGCAGCGAGCGGGAUGACGGCCUUCGGGUUGUAAAAAGAUGUGGAAUGUGACGAAGCGUGAGUGACGGUAAUGGGUAAAGAAGCAACGGCUAACUACGUG